CCUACGGGUGGCAGCAGUGAGGAAUAUUGCGCAAUGGGCGAAAGCCUGACGCAGCGACGCCGCGUGAGGGAUGAAGGUCUUCGGAUCGUAAACCUCUGUCAGCAGGGAAGAACGGUCACUGUGCUAAUCAGCAGUGAAUUGACGGUACCUGCAAAGGAAGCACCGGCUAACUCCGUGCCAGCAGCCGCGGUAAUACGGCGGGUGCGAGCGUUAAUCGGAAUUACUGGGCGGAACGCGCUCGUAGGUGGUAGGUCAAGUCGAGGGGGAAAUCCCCGCCCUCAAGGAGUGAAAUGCCUUUGAAACUGGCAACCUGGAAUGUGUGUGAGGAUAGUGGAAUUCCAGGUGUAGGAGUGAAAUCCGUAGAUAUC
rnacentral:rRNA from 1 species